GGAGGCAGCGACCUCCCCGAGACGCCGGGGCCGCUGUGAGCCCCGUCAGCUGCUCAGGACGUCUGGGGCCGACUGCCGAGGUUAGCGAUGAGGAGGCUGCCGCCUGGCACCGGUUCCCGUCCUCGCGCCUGGCAGCCCCACUGGGCUCCCCUGGCCAGGCCUCCCGGGCCUUCCCCGCCGAGAAGCCGGCAGAGGCGGCGCGAGAGACGUGGCCACGCUGCCCCCCAGUGGCCGACCUGUCUCACAGCAGAAAGAGUUAAAAGCAUCAUUCCACAGGAGUACAUGCAUACUCAUGUCUAUAGAAGCACAAUUUAUAAUAGCUUAAUCUUGGAAACAGCCCAUAUGCCCAUCAACAGAUGAAUGGAUAAAGAAAAUGUGAUAUCAAUAUACAAUGGAGUACUACUCUGCCAUAAAGAAGGAUAAACGAGUCAUUUUUAGGUAAAUGGAUGCACCUUGAGACCAUAAUGUUAAGUGAAAUAAGUUGGAUACACAAGUUUAAAUAUCAUAUUGUUUCUCUUGUGUUAUUGUUUCUCUUUUAGAUGCCCAAAGGGUAAAUAAGGAGCAAAAUGAAGGAUAGAUUUCGGGAAGUAGGAAGAACAAGUUCAAAUGCGAAGGGGAACAGGUAGGGAGAAAGGAAAAAGGAUUUUUAAAAAGAGAAUGGAAGGGGCAAAAAUGGAAACAAAGCUCUUGUAAAUGGGGAGGGGAAGAAGGGUUGAAGGGAGGGGAGGGAAAUGGGGAA
rnacentral:lncRNA from 1 species